rnacentral:rRNA from 1 species
AGAGUUUGAUCCUGGCUCAGGAUGAACGCUAGCUACAGGCUUAACACAUGCAAGUCGAGGGGCAGCAUGGUCUUAGCUUGCUAAGACUGAUGGCGACCGGCGCACGGGUGAGUAACACGUAUCCAACCUGCCGUCUACUCUUGGACAGCCUUCUGAAAGGAAGAUUAAUACAAGAUGGCAUCAUGAGUCCGCAUGUUCACAUGAUUAAAGGUAUUCCGGUAGACGAUGGGGAUGCGUUCCAUUAGAUAGUAGGCGGGGUAACGGCCACCUAGUCUUCGAUGGAUAGGGGUUCUGGAGAGGAAGGUCCCCCANAUUGGAGCUGAGACACGGUCCAAACUCCUACGGGAGCA